AGAACCGCGCGGGCCAAUCGCGCUGCUCCCGAGCGAAAACGUAACUGCGCCUGUGCGUGCGCAGGGCGGGGGAGACCUUGGCGAGGCGGCGGAGGCGCCCAGCGGAGGUGAAAGCAUUGGCGGAAGGGAAGAUACAACGGAAAAAUGCAGAGCUGGAGUCGUGUGUACUGCUCCUUGGCCAAGAGGGGCCAUUUCAAUCGAAUAUCUCAUGGCCUACAGGGUCUUUCUGCAGUGCCUCUGAGAACUUACGCAGAUCAGCCGAUUGAUGCUGAUGUAACAGUUAUAGGUUCUGGUCCUGGAGGAUAUGUUGCUGCUAUUAAAGCUGCCCAGUUAGGCUUCAAGACAGUCUGCGUUGAGAAAAAUGAAACACUUGGUGGAACGUGCUUGAAUGUUGGUUGUAUUCCUUCUAAGGCUUUAUUGAACAACUCUCAUUAUUACCAUAUGGCCCAUGGAAAAGAUUUUGCAUCUAGAGGAAUUGAAAUGUCCGAAGUUCGCUUGAAUUUAGACAAGAUGAUGGAGCAGAAGAGUACUGCAGUAAAAGCUUUAACAGGUGGAAUUGCCCACUUAUUCAAACAGAAUAAGGUUAUUCAUGUCAAUGGAUAUGGAAAGAUAACUGGCAAAAAUCAAGUCACUGCUACGAAAGUUGAUGGCGGCACUCAGGUUGUUGAUACAAAGAACAUUCUUAUAGCCACGGGUUCAGAAGUUACUCCUUUUCCUGGAAUCACGAUUGAUGAAGAUACAAUAGUGUCAUCUACAGGUGCUUUAUCUUUAAAAAGAGUUCCAGAAAAGAUGGUUGUUAUUGGUGCAGGAGUAAUAGGUGUAGAAUUGGGUUCAGUUUGGCAAAGACUUGGUGCAGAUGUGACAGCAGUUGAAUUUUUAGGUCAUGUAGGUGGAGUUGGAAUUGAUAUGGAGAUAUCUAAAAACUUUCAACGCAUCCUUCAAAAACAGGGGUUUAAAUUUAAAUUGAAUACAAAGGUUACUGGUGCUACCAAGAAGUCAGAUGGAAAAAUUGAUGUUUCUAUUGAAGCUGCUUCUGGUGGUAAAGCUGAAGUUAUCACUUGUGAUGUACUCUUGGUUUGCAUUGGCCGACGACCCUUUACUAAGAAUUUGGGACUAGAAGAGCUGGGAAUUGAACUAGAUCCCAGAGGUAGAAUUCCAGUUAAUACCAGAUUUCAAACUAAAAUUCCAAAUAUCUAUGCCAUUGGUGAUGUAGUUGCUGGUCCAAUGCUGGCUCACAAAGCAGAGGAUGAAGGCAUUAUCUGUGUGGAAGGAAUGGCUGGUGGUGCUGUGCACAUUGACUACAAUUGUGUGCCAUCAGUGAUUUACACACACCCUGAAGUUGCUUGGGUUGGCAAAUCAGAAGAGCAGUUGAAAGAAGAGGGUAUUGAGUACAAAGUUGGGAAAUUCCCAUUUGCUGCUAACAGCAGAGCUAAGACAAAUGCUGACACAGAUGGCAUGGUGAAGAUCCUUGGGCAGAAAUCGACAGACAGAGUACUGGGAGCACAUAUUCUUGGACCAGGUGCUGGAGAAAUGGUAAAUGAAGCUGCUCUUGCUUUGGAAUAUGGAGCAUCCUGUGAAGAUAUAGCUAGAGUCUGUCAUGCACAUCCGACCUUAUCAGAAGCUUUUAGAGAAGCAAAUCUUGCUGCAUCAUUUGGCAAAUCAAUCAACUUUUGAAUUAGAAGAUUAUAUAUUUUUUUUCUGAAAUUUCCUGGGAGCUUUUGUAGAAGUCACAUUCCUGAACAGGAUAUUCUCACAGCUCCAAGAAUUUCUAGGACUGAAUUAUGAAACUUUUGGAAGGUGGCAGCAGCUGAAAUCCCUUCUCAGUUGUUUUAGCUUUACCUAUGCUGCUGGAAGUCUUUCCCAUGCAAGUGUGUAGUUCAGGGGUCAACCAGAGUUUGGGCAGAAGUCUGCCCCUUCUGUGCCUCCUGUUUUUUUGGGGUUUCCCCUUCAUGUUCCAGCUGUUGUGGUUGCCCCAUAUUCUGCCCUCUGAUCCUUAACCAAUAAAACUUGGCUUCUGUUUCCCCUUCAAGUGAGAACCUAUUAAAAAUGAGACAUUGAGCCAGUGCUGUUCACUUUUUAAGUGCCAGCUCCCCUCUACUUUCCACCUGUUUGUAGUUGUUUCCAGUGCCUUUAGUUUUCCUAAAAUAUGUUUGUUCAGAGUUUGCAGUUGCGAUCAGCAGGAGGGUUGGUCUGGUAUCUGUGUGCUACUUUGGCAUUAUUGGAAGUGAACUCUGCAUCUUUUUAAAAAUUUGAAAUCCCAGUAUCACGUGAAGUGCUGUUAAUGUAAAUACCAACAUAUCCCUUACUCGGGAAAAAAAGUUUUUAGUUAGGGAAUAGUGAAAUAUAAUUUAAUACGGAAUCCUAGAUGUAGAGACACAAAACAGUUAAAUCCAUCUUUAAGUGUUUACAUUCAGUAUAAGAAUGCAAAUCUGGGUGGGGAAUAAAGUCCUAAGAAUAAAACAA